GGGGCGGUAGCUCAGCUGGCCAGAGCGCUGCGCUCACAUCGCAGAGGUCGGGGGUUCGAGUCCCUCCCGCCCCA
rnacentral:tRNA from 1 species